ACAUACCUUACGUUGCCUCGGCAGGGCGCGCCUACCCGGGGUAGGUCUUACCCUGGAAGACCCUACCCUGCAGACGCGGGUAACCCUGCCGGCGGUCCACUAAACUCUUGUUUAAUUUUGAAUUCUGAACAUUAUAACUAAAUAAGUUAAAACUUUCAACAACGGAUCUCUUGGUUCUGGCAUCGAUGAAGAACGCAGCGAAAUGCGAUAAGUAAUGUGAAUUGCAGAAUUCAGUGAAUCAUCGASAUCUUUGAACGCACAUUGCGCCCAUUAGUAUUCUAGUGGGCAUGCCUGUUCGAGCGUCAUUUCAACCCUUAAGCCUGUGUUGCUUAGUGUUGGGAACCUACAGCUUCUGGCUGUAGUUCCUCAAAGUUAGUGGCGGAGUCGGUUUCAAACUCUAGGCGCAGUAAUUCUUUUCUCGUCUGCAGUUAAGCCGGUCCCCUGCCGUAAAACCCCUAAUUUUUAAAGGUUGACCUCGGAUCAGGUAGGAAUACCCGCUGAACUUAAGCAUAUCAAUAA
rnacentral:rRNA from 1 species